AUACGGAGGAUGCAAGCGUUAUCCGGAUUUAUUGGGUUUAAAGGGUGCGUAGGCGGGUGUUUAAGCGUGAGGUGAAAUGCCGGGGCUCAACCUCGGAACUGCCUCGCGAACUGGGCGCCUUGAAUGCUCCUGCCGUGGGAGGAAUGUGUGGUGUAGCGGUGAAAUGCAUAGAGAUCACACGGAACACCGAUUGCGAAGGCAUCUCACGAAGGGGUGAUUGACGCUGAGGCACGAAAGCGUGGGGAUCAAACAGGAUUAGAUACCCUGGUAGUCCACGCAGUAAACGAUGAUAACUAACCGCUGGGCUAUUAGUGGUUCAGUGGCCAAGCGAAAGCGAUAAGUUAUCCACCUGGGGAGUACGACCGCAAGGUUGAAACUCAAAUGAAUUGACGGGG
rnacentral:rRNA from 1 species